GACGAACGCUGGCGGCGUGCCUAAUACAUGCAAGUUGAGCGAUGAAGAUUGGUGCUUGCACCAAUUUGAAGAGCAGCGAACGGGUGAGUAACGCGUGGGGAAUCUGCCUUUGAGCGGGGGACAACAUUUGGAAACGAAUGCUAAUACCGCAUAACAGCUUUAAACAUAAGUUUUAAGUUUGAAAGAUGCAAUUGCAUCACUCAAAGAUGAUCCCGCGUUGUAUUAGCUAGUUGGUGAGGUAAAGGCUCACCAAGGCGAUGAUACAUAGCCGACCUGAGAGGGUGAUCGGCCACAUUGGGACUGAGACACGGCCCAAACUCCUACGGGAGGCAGCAGUAGGGAAUCUUCGGCAAUGGACGAAAGUCUGACCGAGCAACGCCGCGUGAGUGAAGAAGGUUUUCGGAUCGUAAAACUCUGUUGGUAGAGAAGAACGUUGGUGAGAGUGGAAAGCUCAUCAAGUGACGGUAACUACCCAGAAAGGGACGGCUAACUACGUG
rnacentral:rRNA from 1 species